AAUAGAUACCCAGGUAGUCCAAGCCGUAAACGAUGAGCACUAGGGAGGGGAGACCCCGAUGUCUUCCCUCCUGGCGCAAAUGUAUUAAGUGCUCCGCCUGGGGAGUACAGUCGCAAGGCCGAAACUCAAAGGAAUUGACGGGGGCUCACACAAGCGGUGGAGCAUGUGGUUCAAUUCGAAGCAACGCGCAAACCUUACCUGGGCUUGACAUGCACGGAUUAGCCCCUGGAAACAGGGGUGACUCUCGAAAGGGUGGAACGUGCACAGGUGCUGCAUGGCUGUCGUCAGCUCGUGUCGUGAGAUGUCGGGUUAAGUCCCUUAACGAGCGAAACCCUUGCCGUUAGUUGCCAACGGGUAAUGCCGGGGACUCUAGCGGGACUGCCGUGGUUAACACGGAGGAAGGUGGGGAUGACGUCAAGUCCUCAUGGCCUUUAUGUCCAGGGCAACACACGUGCUACAAUGGCCGGUACAAAGCGACGCGAAACCGCAAGGUGGAGCAAACCGCAUAAAGCCGGCCCCAGUACAGAUUGUGGGCUGC
rnacentral:rRNA from 1 species